ACUCAAAGGAAUAGACGGGGGCCCGCACAAGCAGUGGAGUAUGUGGUUUAAUUCGAAGCAACGCGAAGAACCUUACCAGGUCUUGACAUCCCUAGAAUGCUUGCGAAAGCAGGCAGUGCCUUCGGGAACUAGGUGACAGGUGGUGCAUGGUUGUCGUCAGCUCGUGUCGUGAGAUGUUGGGUUAAGUCCCGCAACGAGCGCAACCCUUGCCGUUAGUUGCCAUCAUUAAGUUGGGCACUCUAACGGGACUGCCGUUGACAAAACGGAGGAAGGUGGGGACGACGUCAAAUCAUCAUGCCCCUUAUGUCCUGGGCUACACACGUACUACAAUGGCUAUUAACAACGAGAAGCAAUACCGCGAGGUGGAGCAAAUCUCUAAAAAUAGUCUUAGUUCGGAUUGCAGGCUGAAACUCGCCUGCAUGAAGUUGGAAUUGCUAGUAAUCGCGGAUCAGCAUGCCGCGGUGAAUACGUUCCCGGGCCUUGUACACACCGCCCGU
rnacentral:rRNA from 1 species